AUGAGUGGGCUUGCCUUCUCGGCUUCCCCUCCUUGCCGCCGUUUAUUCUUCCCCUUCCCCACCACUCUGCUAUGCCCAAUCUUGCUGUCCCUCCAGUACCACGAUUGUUGCAAUUCGACGCUGAUGCCCUCUGAUUGUAGGCGCAUCGGAGCUCUAGCUAUCCCUGCCGGAUGCGAACAUCCCCGCGCAGCUGAAUCAACAUGUGCGCACGCCGUUGGUCUGCUCCCGUCCCUCCUCGCACCAGCAACCUCGGACGCAUCGCUCUGCUUCGGGCCUUUCUCGCACUGGCUUCUUCGGGCGCACCAGACCCGGCCAUCUCUGUGGUGGUUCGGAUUCCAGUGGGAUGCUCUGCUCCAUGCCUCCUGA
rnacentral:rRNA from 1 species